UACAUGCAAAGAUGAGUCACAUUAUCAUCAUACAGUUAUCCCUGUCUGAAAAGGGAUCACACCUUCCUGUUGAGAAUUUAAAUCCGAGCAUAUG
rnacentral:snoRNA from 1 species